rnacentral:misc_RNA from 1 species
GUUUAUCGAUCAUUUCUAUUUUUAUCUCCUUAAAAGCUAAUACGCAUUAAAACAAACUGUGAUAAUUUAUUUUGGGUGACCGUCAUUAUCAAAAAUGUACAUGUUCGCCUUUUUAAUGUAUUUUGUUAGGUUUUCACAUUUUGCCAUUAAAGUAUCUAAUGCAG